UACAGCCAUGGCACGUUGAAACACCGGUUCCAGUACGAUCACCGAAGUUAAGCAACAUCAGGCCUGGUCAAUACCUAGAUGGGUGACUGCUUUGGAAUACCAGGCGCUGA